GCUUUACAAUAACGUGUGGUCUGUCAACAGCAGCGGACAGAACGGCUAAAGCAAGUGGUGUUGUUCAUUCCGUCUGGAAGGUUCUGCAAAAACAGUGAGAGAUGAAAUGUAAAAGCAGUAACUCAAUUUGUUAGCAAAUUUUCAUAUCGUUCUGAUCAUGAACAAAUAACGUUAUGUCGUUUGGUGUGUAAAGUUAUGUUAGCUAGCUACUAAGCAGCAGGUGGUGAAUUCGCAGCAACCUUGUGACUGCAAUUGUUGUUGACAUUUUAAGGCAGCUUGGACAGCAUUCGUUUGUGUGGCCAGGAGCUAGCUUGUAGAUAGAACAUGAGUUCAGCAACAGCUGGGAUUGGGAACCGAGAGGAUGGCGUCCCUCCAGACCGUGGAAGUGAAAAAGUGGAUGACAGUGGGGGCGACAGUGGCAGGCAAGAGUCGGGAGAUGUGCCUCGGGCAACAACGAAAUAAAGAACUGUGCAGUGAAGUACUCUGCUGCCCCUCAACCCACCGCCUAUGCACUACUACAGGAGAAGACUGAUCUGAAGCUGCCUCCUGCCAACUGGCUACGGGAGAGUCCCCAACGUGGGCCUGCAGGCACCUCUGUACUCGGGUCUAGCAGCAAGAGCAAGCCUUUCUCCAGAACAUCAAGAAGAUCCCCUACAGCAAGUCCCAUGUCAGUAUGGCAGUCCACCGUGUGGGAAGGACUCUCCUUCUAGAUGAACUGGCUCUUCAUGAGUUCUUCUCAGAGAGGAGAUUGGACAUGGCUAAUGGAGAUUUACCAGAGGGUAAUAGAUCAGAAGUGACAGAGGAACAAGAAGAGUAAAGAACACUGGUACCAAAAAGCAAGUUCAAAUACUACAAGUGAGAUACUUGAGUAUAAAUGGUGAUGGAGCCACAGAGCCUGUCCCUGAAUCAGACAACCCUGAUGAGGAGUGUGGGGCGGAGGAGUUUGGUCCCUCCUGGCCUGUUACCUUCAUCAGCACUGCUUCAGACUCGGAGGAGGCCGCAGCACACAGAGGAAAGUGUUCCCAUGGACAGCAAGUAUCCAUUGGGACAAGUGGCUUCCAAAGAGCAGAACCUUACCACAUUUUUCAACAAAGGGGAGAACAGUCAUGUCGGCUAGUGAUAAAGAAACUUCAUCAACAAUCUCAGGAGGCUGUGUAUUUUCUCUAUUUUGUUUUGUUAGCAUUUGUUUAUUUGAUUGUAAAUGAGUUAAAUCUAUUAAAUUCAAGUAUCCAAACAA